AGGGUUUGAUUAUGGCUCAGGAUGAACGCUGGCGGCGUGCUUAACACAUGCAAGUCGAACGGGAUCCAUCAGGCUUUGCUUGGUGGUGAGAGUGGCGAACGGGUGAGUAAUGCGUGACCGACCUGCCCCAUACGCCGGAAUAGCUCCUGGAAACGGGUGGUAAUGCCGGAUGCUCCGACUCCUCGCAUGGGGUGUCGGGAAAGAUUUCAUCGGUAUGGGAUGGGGUCGCGUCCUAUCAGGUAGUCGGCGGGGUAACGGCCCACCAAGGCGACGAUCGGUAGCCGGACUGAGAGGUUGAACGGCCACAUUGGGACUGAGACACGGCCCAG
rnacentral:rRNA from 1 species